UAUAAUGGGUCAGCGACUUAUAUUCUGUAGCAAGGUUAACCGCAUAGGGGAGCCGAAGGGAAACCGAGUCUUAACCGGGCGUUAAGUUGCAGGGUAUAGACCCGAAACCCGGUGAUCUAGCCAUGGGCAGGUUGAAGGUUGGGUAACACUAACUGGAGGACCGAACCGACUAAUGUUGAAAAAUUAGCGGAUGACCUGUGGCUGGGGGUGAAAGGCCAAUCAAACCGGGAGAUAGCUGGUUCUCCCCGAAAGCUAUUUAGGUAGCGCCUCGUGAACUCAUCUCCGGGGGUAGAGCACUGUUUCGGCUAGGGGGCCAUCCCGGCUUACCAACCCGAUGCAAACUGCGAAUACCGGAGAAUGUUAUCACGGGAGACACACGGCGGGUGCUAACGUCCGUCGUGAAGAGGGAAACAACCCAGACCGCCAGCUAAGGUCCCAAAGUCAUGGUUAAGUGGGAAACGAUGUGGGAAGGCCCAGACAGCCAGGAUGUUGGCUUAGAAGCAGCCAUCAUUUAAAGAAAGCGUAAUAGCUCACUGGUCGAGUCGGCCUGCGCGGAAGAUGUAACGGGGCUAAACCAUGCACCGAAGCUGCGGCAGCGACACUUUAGUGUUGUUGGGUAGGGGAGCGUUCUGUAAGCCGUUGAAGGUGUCCUGUGAGGGGGGCUGGAGGUAUCAGAAGUGCGAAUGCUGACAUAAGUAACGAUAAAGCGGGUGAAAAGCCCGCUCGCCGGAAGACCAAGGGUUCCUGUCCAACGUUAAUCGGGGCAGGGUGAGUCGACCCCUAAGGCGAGGCCGAAAGGCGUAGUCGAUGGGAAACGGGUUAAUAUUCCCGUACUUGGUGUUACUGCGAAGGGGGGACGGAGAAGGCUAUGUUGGCCGGGCGACGGUAGUCCCGGUUUAAGCGUGUAGGUGUGUGUUCCAGGCAAAUCCGGUUCACUUUAACACUGAGGCGUGAUGACGAGGCACCACGGUGCUGAAGCAACAAAUGCCCUGCUUCCAGGAAAAGCCUCUAAGCAUCAGGUAACAUCAAAUCGUACCCCAAACCGACACAGGUGGUCAGGUAGAGAAUACCAAGGCGCUUGAGAGAACUCGGGUGAAGGAACUAGGCAAAAUGGUGCCGUAACUUCGGGAGAAGGCACGCUGACACGUAGGUGAAGUGAUUUACUCAUGGAGCUGAAGUCAGUCGAAGAUACCAGCUGGCUGCAACUGUUUAUUAAAAACACAGCACUGUGCAAACACGAAAGUGGACGUAUACGGUGUGACGCCUGCCCGGUGCCGGAAGGUUAAUUGAUGGGGUCAGCGCAAGCGAAGCUCCUGAUCGAAGCCCCGGUAAACGGCGGCCGUAACUAUAACGGUCCUAAGGUAGCGAAAUUCCUUGUCGGGUAAGUUCCGACCUGCACGAAUGGCGUAAUGAUGGCCAGGCUGUCUCCACCCGAGACUCAGUGAAAUUGAACUCGCUGUGAAGAUGCAGUGUACCCGCGGCAAGACGGAAAGACCCCGUGAACCUUUACUAUAGCUUGACACUGAACAUUGAGCCUUGAUGUGUAGGAUAGGUGGGAGGCUUUGAAGCGUGGACGCCAGUCUGCGUGGAGCCGACCUUGAAAUACCACCCUUUAAUGUUUGAUGUUCUAACGUGGACCCGUAAUCCGGGUUGCGGACAGUGUCUGGUGGGUAGUUUGACUGGGGCGGUCUCCUCCUAAAGAGUAACGGAGGAGCACGAAGGUUGGCUAAUCCUGGUCGGACAUCAGGAGGUUAGUGCAAUGGCAUAAGCCAGCUUGACUGCGAGCGUGACGGCGCGAGCAGGUGCGAAAGCAGGUCAUAGUGAUCCGGUGGUUCUGAAUGGAAGGGCCAUCGCUCAACGGAUAAAAGGUACUCCGGGGAUAACAGGCUGAUACCGCCCAAGAGUUCAUAUCGACGGCGGUGUUUGGCACCUCGAUGUCGGCUCAUCACAUCCUGGGGCUGAAGUAGGUCCCAAGGGUAUGGCUGUUCGCCAUUUAAAGUGGUACGCGAGCUGGGUUUAGAACGUCGUGAGACAGUUCGGUCCCUAUCUGCCGUGGGCGCUGGAAGAUUGAGGGGGGCUGCUCCUAGUACGAGAGGACCGGAGUGGACGCAUCACUGGUGUUCGGGUUGUCAUGCCAAUGGCACUGCCCGGUAGCUAAAUGCGGAAAAGAUAAGUGCUGAAAGCAUCUAAGCACGAAACUUGCCCCGAGAUGAGUCUUCCCUGAGACUUUGAGUCUCCUGAAGGAACGUUAAAGACGA
rnacentral:rRNA from 1 species